UAUAUAUAUAUUUAUGUUUUGUUUAUGAUUCUUAUUAUAUAUAAUUGAAUUUUUUUCUUUUCUUAGUAUAACUUUUUUUUUUCCUUUCACAUAUAUAUAUAAUAUAUAUAUAUAUAUAUAUAUAAUAUUUAUAUUUAUGAGGUUAAAUAAAAGAAUCUUAAAAGUUAUAUUAUAAAAAAAGUAAAAAAUAUAUAUAUAUAUAUAUAUAUAUAUAUAUUUUAUACCUUUAAGGUUUAAUUUUUUGCAAUCCGCCAUUUUUCUCUUCUUAUAAAAGAAAAAUGUAUAAACCCAAUUUUUCUUUCUUUUUGAAUAUAAUUAUAUUUAUAUGUAUAGAUAUAUAUUUAUAUUUAUUUAUUUUAUAAUUUAUAUUAUAUUAUUUGUUUUCCUUUUUUUUUUUUUUUUUUCUCUUUUUUUUUCUUCUGUUUUUCUUUUUUCAUUUUUCUUAUUUUCAUUAUUUGUUUUUGUUUUUGUUACAACCAUAUAAAAUAGUUGUAUAAUUCUUCUAUAUUAUAUAUUUUUUUUUUUUUUUUUAUUUUUUUCCUUUUUUUUUUUUUUUUUUUUUUUUGUAAAAAGUAUAUAUUAUUAAUAUAUAUUAUUUCUAUGUGUAUAUAAUAUAUUAUUUCUUUUUAUGAUUAAUUUAUAUAUAUAUGUCACAAUCUAUCUUAUUGUAUGUAAAAAGAAAAAGAGAGAAUGCAAGGAGACUAAAUAAAAAUGUAUAAAUAAAAAAAAAAAAAUAUAUAUAUAUAUAUAUAUAUAUAUAUAUAUAUAUUUGAAAAAAAUAUAAUGUGUUCUGAUAUGACAUAAUAAUAUAAUUUUUUUUUUUUUUUUCUUGGUUUGAAUUCAAAAAAAAAAAAGCGAAUUCAUUAUAUUUUAAGUAUCAGUUUGUAUAUAUCUGUAAAAGGUAGUCCCACCCCCAAA
rnacentral:sRNA from 1 species